rnacentral:rRNA from 1 species
GAUGAACGCUGGCGGCGUGCCUAAUACAUGCAAGUCGAGCGAACGGACGAGAAGCUUGCUUCUCUGAUGUUAGCGGCGGACGGGUGAGUAACACGUGUAUAACCUACCUAUAAGACUGGGAUAACUUCGGGAAACCGGAGCUAAUACCGGAUAAUAUUUUGAACCGCAUGGUUCAAAAGUGAAAGACGGUCCUGCUGUCACUUAUAGAUGGAUCCGCGCUGCAUUAGCUAGUUGGUAAGGUAACGGCUUACCAAGGCAACGAUGCAUAGCCGACCUGAGAGGGUGAUCGGCCACACUGGAACUGAGACACGGUCCAGACUCCUACGGGAGGCAGCAGUAGGGAAUCUUCCGCAAUGGGCGAAAGCCUGACGGAGCAACGCCGCGUGAGUGAUGAAGGUCUUCGGAUCGUAAAACUCUGUUAUUAGGGAAGAACAUAUGUGUAAGUAACUGUGCACAUCUUGACGGUACCUAAUCAGAAAGCCACGGCUAACUACGUG